GAUGAACGCUGGCGGCGUGCCUAAUACAUGCCAGUCGAGCGAACGGACGAGAAGCUUGCUUCUCUGAUGUUAGCGGCGGACGGGUGAGUAACACGUGGAUAACCUACCUAUAAGACUGGGAUAACUUCGGGAAACCGUAUCUAAUACCGGAUAAUAUUUUGAACCGCAUGGUUCAAAAGUGAAAGACGGUCUUGCUGUCACUUAUAGAUGGAUCCGCGCUGCAUUAGCUAGUUGGUAAGGUAACGGCUUACCAAGGCAACGAUGCAUAGCCGACCUGAUAGGGUGAUCGGCCACACUGGAACUGAGACACGGUCCAGACUCCUACGGGAGGCAGCAGUAGGGAAUCUUCCUCAAUGGGCGAAAGCCUGACGGAGCAACGCCGCGUGAGUGAUGAAGGUCUUCGGAUCGUAAAACUCUGUUAUUAGGGAAGAACAUAUGUGUAAGUAACUGUGCACAUCUUGACGGUACCUAAUAAGAAAGCAACGGCUAACUACGUG
rnacentral:rRNA from 1 species